rnacentral:rRNA from 1 species
GGUCAAGCUACAAAGGGCGUACGGUGGAUACCUUGGCGCCAGCAGCCGAUGAAGGACGUGGCAGGCCACGAUAGUGUGCGACGAGCUGUCAACAAGCGUUGACUCGCACGAUUCCGAAUGGGGCAACCCCGCCAGGGUAAUACCUGGUGACCCGUAACUGAAUCCAUAGGUUACGAGGAGGUAAGC